UACGAAGGGGGCUAGCGUUGCUCGGAAUCACUGGGCGUAAAGCGCACGUAGGCGGGUCUUUAAGUCAGGGGUGAAAUCCUGGAGCUCAACUCCAGAACUGCCUUUGAUACUGAGGAUCUUGAGUUCGGGAGAGGUGAGUGGAACUGCGAGUGUAGAGGUGAAAUUCGUAGAUAUCGCAAGAACACCAGUGGCGAAGGCGGACUCACUGGCCCGAUACUGACGC
rnacentral:rRNA from 1 species